rnacentral:rRNA from 1 species
AGUCAACAUGCCCAAAGGACGUGGAUAACCUCGGGAAACUGAGGAUAAACCGCGAUAGGCCAAGGUUUCUGGAAUGAGCCAUGGCCGAAAUCUACAUGGCCUUUGGAUUGGACUGCGGCCGAUCAGGCUGUUGGUGAGGUAAUGGCCCACCAAACCUGUAACCGGUACGGGCUUUGAGAGAAGUAGCCCGGAGAUGGGCACUGAGACAAGGGCCCAGGCCCUAUGGGGCGCAGCAGGCGCGAAACCUCUGCAAUAGGCGAAAGCCUGACAGGGUUACUCUGAGUGAUGCCCGCUAAGGGUAUCUUUUGGCACCUCUAAAAAUGGUGCAGAAUAAGGGGUGGGCAAGUCUGGUGUCAGCCGCCGCGGUAAUACCAGCACCCCGAGUAGUCGGGACGAUUAUUGGGCCUAAAGCAUCCGUAGCCGGUUCUGCAAGUCCUCCGUUAAAUCCAACUGCUCAACGGUUGGGCAGCGGAGGAGACCGCAGAGCUAGGAGGCGGGAGAGGCAAACGGUACUCAGUGGGUAGGGGUAAAAUCCAUUGAUCUACUGAAGACCACCAGUGGCGAAGGCGGUUUGCCAGAACGCGCUCGACGGUGAGGGGUGAAAGCUGGGGGAGCAAACCGGAUUAGAUACCCGGGUAGUCCCAGCUGUAAACGAUGCAGACUCGGUGAUGGGUUGGCUUCGGGCCAACCCAGUGCCGCAGGGAAGCCGUUAAGUCUGCCGCCUGGGGAGUACGGUCGCAAGACUGAAACUUAA